CAGUCGAGCGCGCCCUUCGGGGUGAGCGGCGGACGGGUUAGUAACGCGUGGGAAUAUACCCAAAGGAAGGGAAUAGCCUCUGGAAACGGAGAGUAAUACCCUAUGAGCCCUUCGGGGGAAAGAUUUAUCGCCUUUGGAUUAGCCCGCGUUAGAUUAGGUAGUUGGUGGGGUAAUGGCCUACCAAGCCUACGAUCUAUAGCUGGUUUUAGAGGAUGAUCAGCAACACUGGGACUGAGACACGGCCCAGACUCCUACGGGAGGCAGCAGUGGGGAAUCUUGGACAAUGGGCGCAAGCCUGAUCCAGCCAUGCCGCGUGAGUGAUGAAGGCCUUAGGGUCGUAAAGCUCUUUCGCCAGGGAUGAUAAUGACAGUACCUGGUAAAGAAACCCCGGCUAACUCCGUGCCAGCAGCCGCGGUAAUACGGAGGGGGUUAGCGUUGUUCGGAAUUACUGGGCGUAAAGCGCGCGUAGGCGGAUCAGA
rnacentral:rRNA from 1 species